UACGUAGGGUGCAAGCGUUUGUCCGGAAUUAUUGGGCGUAAAGAGCUCGUAGGCGGCUCGUUGCGUCAACCGUGAAAACCCGGGGCUUAACUUCGGGCUUGCGGUUGAUACGGGCGGGCUGGAGUUCGGUAGGGGAGACUGGAAUUCCUGGUGUAGCGGUGAAAUGCGCAGAUAUCAGGAGGAACACCGGUGGCGAAGGCGGGUCUCUGGGCCGAUACUGACGCUGAGGAGCGAAAGCGUGGGGAGCGAACAGG
rnacentral:rRNA from 1 species